rnacentral:rRNA from 1 species
AACGAACGCUGGCGGCAUGCCUAACACAUGCCAGUCGAACGAGACCUUCGGGUCUAGUGGCGCACGGGUGCGUAACGCGUGGGAACCUGCCCUUAGGUUCGGAAUAACUCCCCGAAAGGGGUGCUAAUACCGGAUAAUGUCUUCGGACCAAAGAUUUAUCGCCUUUGGAUGGGCCCGCGUUGGAUUAGCUAGUUGGUAGGGUAAAAGCCUACCAAGGCGACGAUCCAUAGCUGGUCUGAGAGGAUGAUCAGCCACACUGGGACUGAGACACGGCCCAGACUCCUACGGGAGGCAGCAGUGGGGAAUAUUGGACAAUGGGCGAAAGCCUGAUCCAGCAAUGCCGCGUGAAUGAUGAAGGCCUUAGGGUUGUAAAGCUCUUUUACCCGGGAUGAUAAUGACAGUACCGGGAGAAUAAGCUCCGGCUAACUCCGUG